rnacentral:lncRNA from 1 species
UAUAAGGUACAAGAUCGAAAAAACACAGAGUGAAUACAUCUGUCGUUCUCUAGUUUAUAUGCUAGAGUUGUUUCAUCCAUUUCUAUUUAUACUCGGUGAGGCACCUUUUUAGGAAAAUCCUACGAAAUCCCAUCGGUUCCAGCUUAGUUAGUUUCAUGGAGGAAAGGGGAUUGAUGACUUUUAUAAGUGAUUUGAGCAAUUCAACUAAAGUGAAGAAAAAGAAAGGAUCUUAUUUUCAUCCAAG